GCGCGUUUAGCUCAGUGGCAGAGCAACUCGUUUACACCGAGUAGGUCGGGGGUUCGAUCCCCUCAACGCGCACCA
rnacentral:tRNA from 1 species